CAAGUGCCGCAUAGCCUUGGCCGUGACCCCGGUUUCCUGUGCUGCGUACCUACACGAUGGCAUUCGUUUGUCCCAACGUCCCUCGUUCGUUUAGCGGUCCGCUUACCGGCGGGUCACGAGACGAAACUCGCAGCAUGGCCCGUUACCCGCGUCGCGUCUAUGCCGUCACGGUGAACGGGGCAUCGCUCGAGCUCUUGGAUAUGGAAAGCACUGAGGGCAUUGAGGUCUCGCGGCCUCUUAUCUUUGCCCGAGCAUGCAUUAGACACCAACGGUGCACGACCGUCGCUCCCGUCUCGGCCCGGCCGUACGGUGACGAUGUCGUUGAGGAAUGCUACCUGGUUGAUCCUGCCAGUAG
rnacentral:misc_RNA from 1 species